rnacentral:rRNA from 1 species
GAUGAACGCUGGCGGCGUGCCUAAUACAUGCAAGUCGAGCGAACAGAUGAGGAGCUUGCUCCUCUGACGUUAGCGGCGGACGGGUGAGUAACACGUGGAUAACCUACCUAUAGGACUGGGAUAACUUCGGGAAACCGGAGCUAAUACCGGAUAAUAUAUUGAACCGCAUGGUUCAAUAGUGAAAGACGGUUUUGCUGUCACUUAUAGAUGGAUCCGCGCCGCAUUAGCUAGUUGGUAAGGUAACGGCUUACCAAGGCAACGAUGCGUAGCCGACCUGAGAGGGUGAUCGGCCACACUGGAACUGAGACACGGUCCAGACUCCUACGGGAGGCAGCAGUAGGGAAUCUUCCGCAAUGGGCGAAAGCCUGACGGAGCAACGCCGCGUGGGUGAUGAAGGUCUUCGGAUCGUAAAACUCUGUUAUUAGGGAAGAACAAAUGUGUAAGUAACUAUGCACGUCUUGACGGUACCUAAUCAGAAAGCCACGGCUAACUACGU